rnacentral:rRNA from 3 species
UUCGACCUCAAAUCAGGUAGGACUACCCGCU